GUAUCACAGAACACCUAUACAAACUUUAUUCUAUGGUUGUAUCAAGUCGUGGCCUGUAGUGCGGCGCGGUCUGGCGGAAAGAUCGCUUUAACGGCUUCUUUUCGUCGCCACACGUUGCCGAUCAUGUCUGGCCGGGAAGGCGGCAAGAAAAAACCCUUGAAGACAGCAAAAAAGGAACAGAAAGAAUUGGACGAGAAUGACCUGGAGUUCAAGCAAAAGCAAAAAGAGCAACAGAAGGCGCUGAAGGAGGCA